AUUGAACGCUGGCGGCAGGCCUAACACAUGCAAGUCGAGCGGAGAGGCGGACGGGUGAGUAAUGCCUAGGAAUCUGCCUGGUAGUGGGGGAUAACGUCAGGAAAAGGGCGCUAAUACCGCAUACUAUCAGAUGAGCCUAGGUCGGAUUAGCUGGUUGGUGGGGUAAAGGCCUACCAGGGCGACGAUCCGUAACUGGUCUGAGAGGAUGAUCAGGAACACUGGAAAUGAGACACGGUCCAGACUCCGACGGGAGGCAGCAGUGGGUCAUAUUGGACAAUGGGCGAAAGCCUGAUCCAGCCAUGCCGCGUGUGUGAAGAAGGUCUUCGGAUUGUAAAGCACUUUAAGUUUGGAGGCGUUACCAACAGAAUAAGCACCGGCUAACUUCGUGCCAGCAGCCGCGGUAAUUC
rnacentral:rRNA from 1 species